AUUGAACGCUGGCGGCAUGCCUUACACAUGCAAGUCGAACGGCAGCACGGGAGCAAUCCUGGUGGCGAGUGGCGAACGGGUGAGUAAUGUAUCGGAACGUACCUUUCAGUGGGGGAGUAACGUAGCGAAGUUACGCUAAUACCGCAUAUUCUGUGAGCAGGAAAGCAGGGGAGUCGCAAGACCUUGCGCUGAUUGAGCGGCCGAUAUCAGAUUAGCUAGUUGGUGAGGUAAAGGCUCACCAAGGCGACGAUCUGUAGCGGGUCUGAGAGGAUGAUCCGCCACACUGGAACUGAGACACGGUCCAGACUCCUACGGGAGGCAGCAGUGGGGAAUUUUGGACAAUGGGCGCAAGCCUGAUCCAGCCAUGCCGCGUGAGUGAAGAAGGCC
rnacentral:rRNA from 1 species